GCCGCUGUAGCCCAGUUGGUAGAGGCGUGGCCAGUACAAAUGGCGAAGGUCGCUGGUUCAAAUCCAGCCCGCGGUG